UACGGGAGGGUGCGAGCGUUUAAUCGGAAUUACGUGGGACGUAAAGCGCAUGCAGGUGGUUUGUUAAGUCAGAUGUGAAAGCCCGGGGCUCAACCUCGGUAAUUGCAUUUAGAAACUGGACAAACUAGAGUACUGUAGAGGGGGGUAGAAUUUCAGGUGUAGCGGUGAAAUGCGUAGAGAUCUGAAGGAAUACCGGUGGCGAAGGCGGCCCCCUGGACAGAUACUGACACUCAGAUGCGAAAGCGUGGGGAGCAAACAGGAUUAGAUACCCUGGUAG
rnacentral:rRNA from 1 species